AUUCCAGCUACAGUAGCGUAUAUUAAAGUUGUUGCAGUUAAAAAGCUCGUAGUCGCAUUUCUGGCGAGAGGAAUUGGUCCGACAUUUAUUGUGGGUACUCGAUUCUCUCUCGCCAUCCUUAAGUGGUCCGUUCUGGCAUUUAGUUGUCGGAGCGUCGGCCGCUCAUCGUUUACUGUGAGAAAAUUAGAGUGUUCAAAGCAGGCUUAUGCCGUUGAAUAUAUUAGCAUGGAAUAAUAAGAUAGGACCUCGGUGCUAUUUUGUUGGUUUGCGCACAGAGGUAGUGAUGAACAGGGACAGUUGGGGGUAUUUGUAUUUCGUUGUCAGAGGUGAAAUUCUUAGAUUUACGAAAGACAAACUACUGCGAAAGCAUUUACCAAGGAUGUUUUCAUCA
rnacentral:rRNA from 1 species